AAAUGGGGCUUAUUGAGUUUGAUCACGCUAAAGGCGAGUACAGCUUAAGCCGCCCUAUGGAGAAAUUCAUAGAGGAAAAACUGGGUGAAUUGCUGGAAACCCCUAACGAGAAAGACGAGGGCAAUCAGCAGCCAAGCUCUGCAGAACUUGCAGAGAAGGUUCAACGACUAUUCCGUGAGGAAGUACACCAGAAGUCUGGUGGAAGCGCCCAGCCCCUGCCGUAAGUAGGGUGAUGAUAUAGUCUCUUCUGCAUGGAAACAUGCAG
rnacentral:ncRNA from 1 species